CUUGUCUGGGGUUGAACUCAGCGGAACAAGUUUCUUUUUUUUUUUUUUUCCUCUAUGGCUUGGCAGGACCGCUGGAGGGAAACACUAAAAAAAAAAAAAAGUUUCCAUUGUUAACUAGCAAAGAAAAAAAAACCGUUUCAACCUCUGUGGGUUAAAGAUACACCAUCCAUUUUCCAUCCCUCGUUUGAUCUUACUAGAUAUGUCUUGCUGCCGCUGUUUUGAAGCCUCAACCGAGUUUCUUUUCACCAAGAUGAUCCAGGGGGGCCGCUGCCCUGCGGCUAUAAGGGGCCCUUGGCAGACACAGGCGGCUCAGCCUCUCCCAGCCGCACAGUGAAGACACAGGAGGGAAGAGAGGCAGAAAGAACUCUGAAUUUGUAGAACCAGAGGUGAGUUGACAAUUCCCCAGACAGACAGAUCCACUGAGAAUUGGCACACAUGCUUUCCAGUGAAAGCAAUGUUGUUUUAUUUCAAACAUUGUGCAGGAAGAGAUCCUCCCACAAAAAACUUUUUCUGCAACAUCUGCACUCAUUCAGAAUCUAGUCCUUCAAGGAUCUCCAGGAAUACCAGUACAUGAUUAAUCAGAAGUAAUCUUAAGAAGAGGAAUUUAGACUGUCGACAAGUGGCUUUCAUGUUCCAAAACAGGACAUUAGAGUAAACAGCUUUGCUUCCGAGACUGACACUUGUGGAGUAUGGUGGGAAAUAAUGAUGUAUGAAAUAGUUUAUGUUUAUUUUGCUGACACGCACAUUUUCUGUUAGCAUAUAAAAAUCUUCCCACAAAAAGAAUAGAUUAUUUCAGGAAA